rnacentral:lncRNA from 1 species
ACAGGUCAAAUACAAAGCGGACUGAGGCUGCUCUCCUUCAAACUGAAGAGUAUGCAUGGAACAAAGAAGAGCCUUCUCUUUCCACAAAAGCAAGUUACUCUUCAUGGACUGCCAUCCAGGGUGAUGGUGGACUGUAAUGUUUCUCAAAACAUAUCUGAGAGAUGCUCCUCUUGCCUGUAAGAAUUGCCUCCGUCAUCUCCAGCUUAGCUCACAGCCCAGGUGGGUAAAUGAUGGUACCAUCAGGGAAACAGGUCAGCCAGUGGCCUUGCAGCUGGUCAGCGUCCCAGUUGGAAAGCCUGGAAGGACAAGGCAUGCAGGACAGUGUACCAGGUUUCAUAGAGAUGCAGAGAUAGUCUGA